CCUACGGGGGGCAGCAGUGAGGGAUAUUGGGCAAUGGGGGAAACCCUGACCCAGCGACGCCGCGUGAGGGAAGACGGUCUUCGGAUUGUAAACCUCUGUCUUUGGGGACGAAAAAGGACGGUACCCAAGGAGGAAGCUCCGGCUAACUACGUGCCAGCAGCCGCGGUAAUACGUAGGGAGCGAGCGUUGUCCGGAAUUACUGGGUGUAAAGGGAGCGUAGGCGGGAUUGCAAGUUGGAUGUGAAAACUGCGGGCUCAACCCGGAGCGUGCAUUCAAAACUGCGAUUCUUGAGUGAAGUAGAGGCA
rnacentral:rRNA from 1 species